UACGGAGGGGGCUAGCGUUGUUCGGAAUUACUGGGCGUAAAGCGCACGUAGGCGGUUACUCAAGUCAGAGGUGAAAGCCCGGAGCUUAACUCCGGAAUUGCCUUUGAAACUAGGUAACUCGAAUCCGGGAGAGGUGAGUGGAAUUCCGAGUGUAGAGGUGAAAUUCGUAGAUAUUCGGAAGAACACCAGUGGCGAAGGCGGCUCACUGGACCGGUAUUGACGCUGAGGUGCGAAAGCGUGGGGAGCAAACAGG
rnacentral:rRNA from 1 species